UACGUAGGGUCCAAGCGUUAAUCGGAAUUACUGGGCGUAAAGCGUGCGCAGGCGGUUCGUUAAGUCAGCUGUGAAAGCCCCGGGCUCAACCUGGGAAUUGCGGUUGAAACUGGCGAACUAGAAUCUGGCAGAAGGGGGUGGAAUUCCACGUGUAGCAGUGAAAUGCGUAGAGAUGUGGAGGAACACCGAUGGCGAAGGCAGCCCCCUGGGCUGAGAUUGACGCUCAGGCACGAAAGCGUGGGGAGCAAACAGG
rnacentral:rRNA from 1 species